GCAAGAUUUUUAUAAAUAUCACGAUAUAUCAUUGUCAUUAGUAUUUUUUGACCACGAUAAUUGUGUAGUGGAAAACCUGAUAUUGUGACGGUUAUCGUGACCCUAGUUCACAAUGUUAACUUUGAAACAGAUCCUCACGUAAGUAUGCCCCGGGGGCUGGUUCUUAUCGGCGUAUCAGAAAGAUGCUUACUUUCACAUCUAGAAAUCCCCUCAUCACAGACCCUUCUUGAGAUUUGCGUUCGAGGCGGUGGCUUAUCAAUAUACAGUCCUACCAUUUGGACUGUCUCUGGCCCCGCACACUUUAACGAAGUGCAUUGAUCUGGCUCUUUCCCCUCUGAGGCAGAUGGGAAUCCGCAUUAUGAACUACCUCAUAUGAUUGGCUGGUAUUAGUCAGAUUGGAACAGGAACUUCUCGCUCACAGGUCGCUGUUGCUCAACCACCUGGAGCAUCUUGGACUGAAAAUCAAUUUAGCCAAGAGCUCUUUGUCUCCCAGCCAGUGAGUAGACUUCCUGAGGACAAUUAUGGAUUCAGCCCAAAUGCGGGCAUCGAUUAUGCCAGAAUGCUCACUAACAGUUCCGCGGCUGGUGUCGUUAUUCAAAGUCGAGACUUCCUGUACCCUCAGAGUACAUAGGAUAGGAUGCUCGGCCUCAUGUCAGCCGAGACGGCUCUGUCAUUCCAUUGGGUCUGCUUCAUAUGCAGCCCCUACAAAUCAAGGUAAUCAGCUUCAAGGUAACCCAAUGCUGCACCAGAGCUGUGGCCCCUUGGAAGACAUCCCACCUGUUUCAGACAGGUGUCCCAUUGGGACCCUGGGACUGACCUCAAGCGGGAAGGUGGUUAUGACAGAUGCUUCCAACUCGGGUUGGGGCGCACUGUAUAAGGCGAAAAUGGAGCUCGGCUCCUGGUUCAGCCUGAAGUAAUGCCUACACAUCAACUGCCUAGAGAUGAUGGCGGUUUUUCUAGUUCUAAAAACCUUCCUGCCAGCCUUACUGGACACCACUUACUGGUCUGCUUGGACAACAUGUCGGCGGUAGCUUUUAUAAAUCUCCAAGGUGGAGUGAGGUCACGCUUCCUAUACAGGAUGACGAGACACCUCCUCCUGUGGGCACAGUGCAAUCUACUCUCACUGAGGGCAGUUCAUGCGCUAGGCAGACUGAACCAAGGAGCAGACAUACUGUCCCGGGCCAAUGUAUUUCCAAGAGAAAGGAUACUACACCCCCAAAUGGUUCAAACGAUCUGGUCUGUAUUCGGGAGAGCAGAGGUAGACCUCUUUGAUUCAGAAGACAACUCUCACUGCCCAACAUAUUUCUCAAGGGAGCAGGAUGCCCUGAUCCACGAAUGGCCCAGUGCUCACCUUUAUGCUUUUCCUUUGGUUGACCUGCUCCCUCAGGUCAUCAGACGGGUCAGGGAAGUCAGGUGCUCAGUCCUCUUAACAUGAUUUUGGAGUCUAGAGCCCUUCUACAAGAUGCCUCUACACCCUUAAAUGGUGGACGAGUCUCUGUGCUACGACUAAGAAGGCUCCUGACCGUCAAAUAAACUCAACACAAAGCAAAGCAGCAAGGGGAUCUUGUGGACUGGAUCACAAUCCAUUGAGCAGAAGGAACAGGAGCAAUCAAAAAAGAGUCAUCAGAGACACUUGUGGUGCAUCAACUUCAGAAAAUGUCUUCUCCAAACAGUGAAACAAGCAGAAACAACAACAAAUACAAAAACAAAGUUAUUAUUAAGACUGCUGCUCCAGUGAGCUUUUUGUUACUGACUUUUCAGGGGUUUAUGGGUAUAAAAUUUUCAUGCCCAUGCAGCAAUGGAUGGAACAUAGUUUUAACAUUACUAAUCUUGGUUGUGCCUGCCCUCUUUGGUUGGAUAAUGUUGUCACUAUUUUUAAGAUUUGAAGAACAAAAAAUUAGUGGAGGUGGAGGGUUCCAAACAGACAGCAGAGGAAGAUCUAAGUCUGAAAAAUGGCUUUAUCGUAUGAUUCGCUGCAUUCCACCUCUAGUGUGGUUCUGUAUAUUUUUCAUUGAUGGUGAUUAUUUGGCAUGUCUCACGACAACCUGGAAUGGACAGUACACCUGUGAUAAAAAUAUCCAUCCUAAUUGUGUGAGUUGGUGCAAACCUGAAUCAAGCAAUGGAAGAAAUGAGACUGAAACAUAUAACAAAACACAAUGGACAAAUAAUAUAUCAAAGGUAAUAGGUUACUGCCUGGCCUUGCUCUUCUGCUUCAUCGUCUUGAUCAUAAUGUGUGUGAGUAAAGACGAGAACAGAACUUCAUUGCGAAGGGACACCGUGUUAAACGGAGAAACUGGGACUGCCAUGAUAACCAGUGAAAGGGAGAUGAUGUUAACCCCUCAGAGGACCUCAGAUGAUGCCAACCCUGAAACAACAGACAGAACU